CAUGUACUCCCUCCGUUCGGAAUUACUUGUCGCAGAAAUGGAUGUAUCUAGACAUAUUUUAGUUCUAGAUACAUCCAUUUCCAAGACAAGUAAUUCCGAACGGAGGGAGUAGUUU
rnacentral:pre_miRNA from 1 species